UACGGAGGGUGCAAGCAUUAAUCGGAUUUAUUGGGCGUAAAGGGCGUGUAGGUGGAUAUGUAAGUCAGAUGUGAAAGACCAAAGCUCAACUUUGGAAUGGCAUUUGAAACUGCAUGUCUAGAGGGUAGGCGGGGGAAGCGGAAUUCCACGUGUAGCGGUGAAAUGCGUAGAUAUGUGGAGGAACACCUGUGGCGUAGGCGGCUUCCUAGCUUAUUCCUGACACUGAGGCGCGAAAGCAGGGGGAGCAAACAGG
rnacentral:rRNA from 1 species